CCUACGGGGGGCAGCAGUGGGGAAUAUUGCACAAUGGGGGAAACCCUGAUGCAGCGACGCCGCGUGGGUGACGAAGUAUUUCGGUAUGUAAAGCCCUAUCAGCAGGGAAGAAGAUGACAGUACCUGACUAAGAAGCCCCGGCUAACUACGUGCCAGCAGCCGCGGUAAUACGUAGGGGGCAAGCGUUAUCCGGAUUUACUGGGUGUAAAGGGAGCGUAGGUGGCAUGGCAAGCCAGAAGUGAAAACCCGGGGCUUAACCCCGCGGAUUGCUUUUGGAACUGUCAGGCUGGAGUGCAGGAGGGGCAGGCGGAAUUCCUGGUGUAGCGGUGAAAUGCGUAGAUAUCAGGAGGAACACCGGUGGCGAAGGCGGCCUGCUGGACUGUAACUGACACUGAGGCUCGAAAGCGUGGGGAGCAAACAGGAUUAGAUAC
rnacentral:rRNA from 1 species